CAUGUUUUCCUUCCACCAUCUUCUCAAGGAAUCAGAGCUCACACCUUGAGAAGCAGACCAACCUCGAUCCUCCUGCUCUACUGGUCUGACCCAGAAAUAGACUUGGGACUUUGUUUCCUGUUCUUCCCCGGUAUGUACCCAGUGGUUUCCCUGAAAUCAUGUGCCUUUUUUUCUGAGGUGAUUAUGAUUCAGUCAUUUUGUUUUCCUUUCAC